AGGGCGUCAUCUAGGGCGCUGCAGUAAGGGGGAUAUUCAGAGACUCAACUUAAUCAAUAUUUGGCCCAAAUUUGGCCUGCCGCGUCACCCAAGGCAUCGCAUCAGUCAUUUGCAUGAUGAUGAGUGGGGCAGGAGACGCACAAAGUUUGUACCAUAGAGGAAGUUCGAGUUCUGUGAUAAUCUUGGAAGAAAGUAUAGUUAUAUUCUUUCUCCCCACCUUGUUGAUUUCCGACUUGUUUGAAGUUUGCUCCUUGUUGCUGUCACAAUUGUAUUCAUGUUAAGUUCUUUAUGAAGUUGGGUUGACGUUCAAAUCUCAUACGCAUGUUUGUUGCCUCUUUUUAUUUGUCUAUGGGGGUUGCAUCAGUUGUCUCAGAUCAAGAUGGGAGCAUAUUACUGCUCCAAAGGUUUGGUUGUCCUUGGUAGUAACUAGUUCAUGUGCAGGUUGGCUGCUCUGUUUGAUUCUGCUUUGAGAACUUAAAGCUUUCAUUUACUCAAUUAUCAAAUAUCUGGGGUUUAAUGGGCUCAAAUCACCCUUAUACAAACACCUUUUGUUUCCCUUAUCAAUGAAUGAACGAAUUUCCUUUGAGUUGUGAAUGUAAUAAGGGUGUGAAAGAGGAGUUUUCGUUGUUAAAUUGGCGUUUGAAAGGU